GGGGGUGUGGUAGUAAGUUUAUUAGAACAGGGGGGUGUGGUAGUAAGUUUAUUAGAACAGGGGGUGUGGUAGUAAGUUUAUUAGAACAGGGGGUGUGGUAGUAAGUUUAUUAGAACAGGGGGUGGUGGUAAUAAGUUUAUUAGAACAGGGGGGUGUGGUAGUAAGUUUAUCAGAACAGGGGGGUGUGGUAGUAAGUUUAUUAGAACAGGGGGUGUGGUAGUAAGUUUAUUAGAACAGGGGGGUGUGGUAGUAAGUUUAUUAGAACAGGGGGUGUGGUAGUAAGUUUAUUAGAACAGGGGGGUGUGGUAGUAAGUUUAUUAGAACAGGGGGUGUGGUAGUAAGUUUAUUAGAACAGGGGGGUGUGGUAGUAAGUUUAUUAGAACAGGGGGGGGUGGUAGUAAGUUUAUUAGAACAGGGGGGUGUGGUAGUAAGUUUAUUAGAACAGGGGGUGUGGUAGUAAGUUUAUUAGAACAGGGGGGUGUGGUAGUAAGUUUAUUAGAACAGGGGGUGUGGUAGUAAGUUUAUUAGAACAGGGGGGUGUGGUAGUAAGUUUAUCAGAACAGGGGGUGUGGUAGUAAGUUUAUUAGAACAGGGGGGUGUGGUAGUAAGUUUAUCAGAACAGGGGGUGUGGUAGUAAGUUUAUCAGAACAGG